GGAAGUAAGAGUCGUAACAAGGUUUCCGUAGGUGAACCUGAGGAAGGAUCAUUAAUGAGUUGUCAUGGGGUUCGAUGCUGGCAGCCAAUUUUUGGAUGCAUGUGCUUGCCAUAACAAUCAUCUUCCAAACACCUGUGCACAUUUUUGAGGGAGUCUUGAGUUGGUUGCCGCUCUUGGGUGAUUUUCUCACAUUCCCUUAAAUCAUUAUACGCUAUUAACAAUGUUGAACGUGCUCUGUGCCGCAAGGCUAUUAAUAUAAUACAACUUUUAACAACGGAUCUCUUGGCUCUC
rnacentral:misc_RNA from 1 species